AGAUCACAGGUCACUCAGUCAGCAAGGGGGACAGUCAAGGAUAGAAGCUUCCUUGGGUGAGGAGGGGGCUGCUCUGCUCCCACAGUGGGCUCAGGGUUCAUACGGUCCUGCGGAGGCCUCCCCAGGCCUACCUCUGCUGAUUAAAGUUUCCCCAAAAAGCAAGCUCCUCCUUCUACUUGCCCUCUAAGCUUUCGGGGUACUAGAAGCUAAUCAUGCAAUUUUUCUUUUUUCUUUUUCUUUUUUUUUUUUGAGACGGAGUUUUGCUCUUGUUGCCCAGGCUGGAGUACAGUGCGAGACUCCAUCUCAAAAAAAAAUAAAUAGGGCCGGGCGCGGUGGCUUACGCCUGUA
rnacentral:lncRNA from 10 species